GCCGUGCUUUGUGACUAAGCUCUUCCACUUAACAUGUUUUCAAGGUUGGUCUACCUGUUCAACACACAUAUGAGAACUCUUCCAAUCUUUUCUCAACCAAAUACUAUUUCGCUGAGUGGAUCUCUACAUUUGUUUCAUCCACUGCCAGCUGCUAGACACUUGGGUUCUUUCCCCUUCUUGGCUGUUGUGGAUACUGUUGCUGUUCUGUGGAUACUGUUGCUGCUCUGUGGAUACUGUUGCUGCUCUGUGGAUACUGUUGUUGUUCUGUGGAUACUGUUGCUGCUCUGUGGAUACUUUAUUACAUUACAGUGUUUGCGUGUCCAUGUCUUCUGUACACAUAGGAGGGGAAGUACUGGGUCACUUGGUAACUCUAUGGCUAGAUUGUGAGGGCAUGCUAAAAUGUUUUUCAGAGUUCCUGCAGUGGAUACAGUAUUUGAAAAUAAACAAUAAUAAUAAUAAUAAAUCAACUACUCCAGGUAUACUUCAUGGCCUGUUGCUGUUGACAUAUUCUUGAGUCCUGUUAUGCUUGGUGCUGGGUUUUGUCCUCAGCGAUCCUGGGCAUCCACUUGUGCUAACCUACUCCGUUCUCUGAUUGGAGCUCUUUCUUUUCCAAGUUUAGGAUCCUGUUGUGUGUCCCCCCCCCCCUCGUCCUUGAGUCAGUCAAUCUUUAAGCUCAGUGAAAAGACAUACUGUGAAAAGUUUAUUUCACCUGAAAAUGUGCAUGAUCAGGAAUUCUGUGGCUGUCCUCUCAGGACAGUUAGCACGCUAAAGAGUUAGCAGGGAAAGUCAAAGCAAUGAAUAUGGAACUCUGGAGUAAGGUAUGCCACAUCCUUGGGGAGGAAGACACUCGGCAACCGUCGGUGGUAACCUUGGAUGCUAGACCAUGGGCUUGCAGUCAAACCAACCGGGUCAAAUCGCAUUGGUUAUUUGAUUUCACAGGGCAUCAAUUUCCUCAUCUGGAGUGAAAACAAUACCUAGGACCCAGGCUCUCUUGACAGACUAAACAAGACAACACCAGGAAGCACGGCGUUCAGGGUUUAAUGCCUGUGCUCAAGGAACUGCCGCUUGCCGCUCUGGCCCUUUCAUACUCUCUGCACCCAGUCCUAUAGUUCUCAGACGGAGCACUGCUGUAUAUAUAAUUUUAAAUUUCUCCAUCUAGAUUUGCUAGUCACCACAUUAAAAGAACAAUC
rnacentral:lncRNA from 1 species